AGCGAAGCAGGUUAGAUACUUUAGAAUUAUGCUUUAAAGUACAGAAAUGACUUGCCAUGGAGGGCAAGUCAAGGAGCUAUCGAGCCAUGGAAGGCGAGUAGCGACGGUUUCGUCAGGCAUAGAAAACAUAAAAAGCAUAAUUCGUAUAGUAUCUUAGCUGCGUAGC
rnacentral:ncRNA from 1 species